rnacentral:rRNA from 1 species
AACGAACGCUGGCGGCAUGCCUAACACAUGCAAGUCGAACGAGACCUUCGGGUCUAGUGGCGCACGGGUGCGUAACGCGUGGGAACCUGCCCUUAGGUUCGGAAUAACUCCCCGAAAGGGGUGCUAAUACCGGAUAAUGUCUUCGGGCCAAAGAUUUAUCGCCUUUGGAUGGGCCCGCGUUGGGUUAGCUAGUUGGUAGGGUAAAAGCCUACCAAGGCGACGAUCCAUAGCUGGUCUGAGAGGAUGAUCAGCCACACUGGGACUGAGACACGGCCCAGACUCCUACGGGAGGCAGCAGUGGGGAAUAUUGGACAAUGGGCGAAAGCCUGAUCCAGCAAUGCCGCGUGAGUGAUGAAGGCCUUAGGGUUGUAAAGCUCUUUUACCCGGGAUGAUAAUGACAGUACCGGGAGAAUAAGCUCCGGCUAACUCCGUG